rnacentral:rRNA from 2 species
AAAUUGAAGAGUUUGAUCAUGGCUCAGAUUGAACGCUGGCGGCAGGCCUAACACAUGCAAGUCGAACGGUAACAGGAAGCAGCUUGCUGUUUCGCUGACGAGUGGCGGACGGGUGAGUAAUGUCUGGGAAACUGCCUGAUGGAGGGGGAUAACUACUGGAAACGGUAGCUAAUACCGCAUAACGUCGCAAGACCAAAGAGGGGGACCUUCGGGCCUCUUGC